UACGUAGGGUGCGAGCGUUAAUCGGAAUUACUGGGCGUAAAGCGUGCGCAGGCUGUUUUGUAAGUCAGAUGUGAAAUCCCCGAGCUCAACUUGGGAACUGCGUUUGAAACUACAAGACUAGAAUAUGUCAGAGGGGGGUAGAAUUCCACGUGUAGCAGUGAAAUGCGUAGAGAUGUGGAGGAAUACCAAUGGCGAAGGCAGCCCCCUGGGAUAAUAUUGACGCUCAUGCACGAAAGCGUGGGGAGCAACAGG
rnacentral:rRNA from 1 species